UUAGAGUUGAAAGGGAAACGUCUUUGAGGU
rnacentral:piRNA from 2 species